CUGAGUACAGACCGAUCUAAGGUGAAACCGCGAAUGGCUCAUUAAAUCAGUCGUAAUUUCUUGGAUAGUGAAAAACUUUCCUCGGAUAACUGUGGAAAAUCCAGAGCUAAUACGUGCAACUGAGCUCCGACCUAGGCGCGAGCCUUGGGAAGAGCGCAUUUAUUAGAUUCAAAACUGACCGGCGUACUCCUUCGGGAUACGUCGUUCGUCAAAUGUUUGAUGACUCCGGAUAACUUAGCCGAGCGCUACGGUCUUUAGUACCGGCGCCGUAUCUUUCAAGUGUCUGCCUUAUCAGCUUUCGAUUGUAGGUUAAACGCCUACAAUGGCUGUAACGGGUAACGGGGAAUCAGGGUUCGAUUCCGGAGAGGGAGCCUGAGAAACGGCUACCACAUCUAAGGAAGGCAGCAGGCACGCAAAUUACCCACUCCCAGCCCGGGGAGGUAGUGACGAAAAAUAACGAUGCGAGACUCUUCCGAGGCCUCGCAAUCGGAAUGAGUCCAUCCUAAAUCUUUGGACGAGGAUCCAUUGGAGGGCAAGUCUGGUGCCAGCAGCCGCGGUAAUUCCAGCUCCAAUAGCGUAUAUUAAAGUUGCUGCGGUUAAAAAGCUCGUAGUUGGACUUUCUAGAUCCAUUUCGUGGGUGAGUCGCUCGUUGUACUAGCGAUUCGCGUCAGUCACUAGAUAAUGUCGUGUUUCGGCGGCGAGUACUUCUACUAAGUUGGCUUCGGCUUUCUAUAGGGGAGCCGUCGUCGUUUCGCGGUAAACUUUCUAGCGGACGGUGUUUCUCGGUCUUCGGGUAUAGCUCGCCCGCGUUUGGUACAAUUAAAAUUUUGUCGGCUCGCUCGGAGUGCUCUUUACCGAGUGUUCCAGGGUGGCCGACACGUUCACUUUGAAAAAAUUAGAGUGCUUAAAGCGGGCUGUAAAAACGGCCGGAAUGUCUGUGCAUGGAAUGAAGUAACAGGACCUCGAUUCUGUUCUUUUUGUCGGUUUUAAUGAACCGAGGUAAUGAUUAAAAGGGACAGACGGUGGCAUUAGUAUUGCGACGCUAGAGGUGAAAUUCUUGGACCGUCGCAAGACUAACUACUGCGAAAGCAUUUGCCGAGAAUGUUUUCAUUAAUCAAGAACGAAAGUUAGAGGAUCGAAGGCGAUCAGAUACCGCCCUAGUUCUAACCCUAAACUAUGCUAACUAGCGAUCCGCCGAAGUCAUUCCCACGACUCGGCGGGAAGCCCCAG
rnacentral:rRNA from 1 species